rnacentral:rRNA from 1 species
AUUGAACGCUGGCGGCAGGCCUAACACAUGCAAGUCGAGCGGAUGAAGAGAGCUUGCUCUCUGAUUUAGCGGCAGACGGGUGAGUAAUGCCUAGGAAUCUGCCUGGUAGUGGGGGAUAACGCCCGGAAACGGGCGCUAAUACCGCAUACGUCCUACGGGAGAAAGCAGGGGACCGUCGGGCCUUGCGCUAUCAGAUGAGCCUAGGUCGGAUUAGCUAGUUGGUGAGGUAAUGGCUCACCAAGGCUACGAUCCGUAACUGGUCUGAGAGGAUGAUCAGUCACACUGGAACUGAGACACGGUCCAGACUCCUACGGGAGGCAGCAGUGGGGAAUAUUGGACAAUGGGCGAAAGCCUGAUCCAGCCAUGCCGCGUGUGUGAAGAAGGUCUACGGAUUGUAAAGCACUUUAAGUUGGGAGGAAGGGCAGUAAGUUAAUACCUUGCUGUUUUGACGUUACCGACAGAAUAAGCACCGGCCAACUUCGUGCCAGCAGCCGCCGUAACAC